UUCCGUCUUCAUCGUUCAGCAGCGAUCUAAGCUCUACUCCACCGUCUUCCCGCCGUCGCAAAUAGGUACUACUCCGUCGGUCUUACUCGCAAAUCGAAUAUGAGAUGGACAAGCGUUGUGAUGUUCACCAAAAGGUUUGGAGGCGUCUCUUAUGAAUGGCGUUGCAAGUGUAUCAUAGGAAGAUGAAGGGGUGGGGUGAGGGUUACAUAGAAGGGAAGAGAAACAAGGAUCGGGGACCUGUAUGAAAGAAAGAAAAGUAGCCGGAAAACGGAAGAGGGUGGGGGAGUCGCCAUGAGAAGGGAGUUGUCGGAGAUGGAGAGUGGCUGCCGAGAAGGGUUUGGAGGGUUGGGGUAAUUGCAGUGAAGAAGCUUACUAUGUGAAUGUGAUUGAGAGAAAGAGGCUGGAUGCCACACAGUUUUAUGCAGGUAUUUUUGUUUCUACUGGUUUCUUGAACAAGGCACCAAAUACAGACCUCGAGUGAUGUGGUGUUCACAGUAAAGAAAAGCUGAAACAAUUUUCAGGUGAGAGCUGUAAAUAGGGAAAAGAGAAAUAAGAAGCAAGAAAGAAGGGUUUGAACUUACUAAAUGGGUGGAAGAAAGGUUUGAACUUACUAAAUGGAUGGAAGAAAGAUGUAAAGAUGGAUGGAAGAAAGCUGUAAAAAGAGGAUGAAAAAGCUUCAACUAAAAAAGUUAAAUUCAAAGUUUCAACCUUGAUGGUAUUGGUGGUUGUACAUUAUGCUUUGUUAGUUGUGAUUUAUAGUCUUUUUGAACUUUAUGUAUAAGUUGGUUGUACAUUGUGCUUUGUGACUUGUUUUUAAGAGUUUUUUGAAAA